AACAUAGGAUUCCAUUAACAAAGAUCCCAAAUACAUUUCAUCUACAAAAGUACAAGUACAUGAAGAUUAUACACACUAUUUCAUGCUUACUUGCUCAGACCUCCAUUCCUGUAAGGAAAACAAAAACUAAAACAAUGAACUAAAAGUCCAGUGAGAUUCCCAAACAAGCACUCAGGUAGAUAAACUAUGGAAGUAUUACAUUUAACAAUUUGCACAGUAAUAAACAAUCAUUCAAGAAUCAAACAUUUAAUCAUUGGAAAGAUACGUACUCACUUGAAAUCGUGAAGUCGCCUACCAUUUCCCUUAUUCCUCCGACAUUUGAAAACAUUAAAAGUGAAAACUCUUUCAGUGUUCAUUUCAUUCAUUCAUUCAUUGCAUUGCAUUCACUGGCCAGUUCUCCACCUGAUUUCGUGGUCAUGCUCGAGUAUACCAAAUACUGUCCCAGUAUCACCAGCGGCCCGAUCGAAUCCGUUUCUAGUUCGAGUCGACUGGCAAUGAAGAGUAAGGGACUAGUUCAGCCAAAGGCAUACAUUCAUGCACAAGUAAUUCACUUAGGUCAAAUGCAAUAAAGUAUACACUCGCCCAUCGAAAAUCCAUUUAACAAUCAUUGAAAAGCAUUUAACAUCCAAGCAAAUAUUCACAAUAUUCCACAUAACCAUUGGAAGCACAACAUGCAAGGAACACUAACCGAUAUUAGUAGAUUAAAUAUCAACUCUUAGGAUAAUAAUCUUGAUCGCUACCAAAACCCUGAGGCAAGAUUCACAAUCACAAUAGGUUUAAAUUUCGUAGCUUCAACUAGCCACGUCUAGUAUUCCAAGGUAUUCCAUAUACUUCUCACUUUGAGCUCAAGACUUAAAGAUAAAAUCCAACACAAAUAUUCUAAAAGUGAAGAGAGCAAUUUAAGCAUCCAAAAUCACACCAAAUUAAGGUUUAAGACCUAGAAAAGUAUUCCAACUCCCACUCAAUUCAUUUGAUAAAAUUCUCAACUUUGGAGACAUUCUUUGAAAAAGCAUACCUUGACUUCCAUAGGUCAAAAUAUCACAAAACUUGCACCAUUAUAAAAUAGACUCGAAGCACUAACAGGCUUUAGAAGACAUCUUCAUGAAAUUCAGCUCAUAGGUUAGUCAAAUUUUAGUUCAAACUCACUGCUGUCUCAUGUGCAAAAAUAGGAUAGUCAUAGUUUUCAAGAAAGUUUACCGAUUUGCUGGUAUUUAUAGGAGUUGAACCAAAUCCUGAAUUUUAUAUCGUUGAAAGCCCUAUGAGUCUAGUUUCAAACGCAACAAUUGGAACUCAAUUUCGACUUUCCUAUACAAAGUUAUAGUCAAUUUCCCAAAACUGCGCAGGACUUCCUGUGAAAAUUUUCCAGCAAGUUAUUAGUUUGGAAAACUAGGUUUUUCCCCUUCUUAAACUUCUUUGUUUUGGUUGAAAACUAACACACAUGCAAAGAAAUAGAUUGUAACAAGUGUUUUGAGAAAAUUCAUAUGAAAGUUAGAAAUCUUAAAGAUCAACUUAAAUAUCCUUACGUAAACCAAGUCCGAAUUGAUCACAAAUCACACCUCUACUUCCACUUUUACUCACUUACCCCACAAGAAGAAAAUUGGGCAGCACCUCCCCUAUUUUUCUUAACUUUUCCCUCAAAUUUUUUAAGUUAAGUUUCAUGGCAAAAUAGCCCAAAUCAACUCCACAAGUUAUAAGAUAAAAGGGGUUCUUAUACUAGGUUACAAUACCAACUAAUUUAAACUUAUCUCUAGCAUAUAAACAUCACAUAUCUAAGUUGAAAAUUUUUCUACCAAGGCUGAAAAUUUGGAACUAAAGCUGGAAAUUCUUAUUUGCAAGCUAAAAGUCACAUUAAAGCUAUAAAUCUUCAUACAAGUCCAUAUCAAGGUUAGAUACCAUCAUAUCAUGGCUAAAAAAUAUAAUACAAAGCUGAAAAAUUCCACUAAUCUUCACAAAUCCAGGUUAUCUUCCAUAAAACUUCUAUAUUCAAGUCGUUUUCCUAAUAAAAUGCAAGAUGAGAAAGAGAAAGAAAGUUUUUCAACUUAAUACCUUCAACCUCUAGGAGAAAAUGAAAAAUUAAAACUUUCCUCUCCAAGUAACUCCACUACAAGUUUGUUCGGAUUAAACUAGUGAUUCUUGUUGAUCUUCACUCAAUCAAGGCAAGAUCAAGAUGAGAAAUGAAGCUCUCUUCCUCUCUUUUUCCCUCUCUUUGGUCGGCCAACAUGGAAGGAAAAUGAAGGGAAUUUUGGUAUUAGGAAAGAUAAGAAUGGAAGAAAACUUUUGGUCAAAGGUAGCUUUGAUUGCCAACACUUGGCAAUCAUCUACUUUUCCUCUUUUUUUUUUUUUUUCUUUUUCCUCUCUUUCUUGGUCAAUAAUUUUGGUCAGCCCUAGGAUAAAAUUAGGGAAAGGAAAAUUAAAGAAAAAUAAGAAGAUUUGGGAAAGAAAGUCUUGGUCGAGUGGUGUCUUUGACAGGUAACAAAUGGCGCGAGUCGGUUCAAACCUAUUUCUUUGUUUCUCUUGUACUUUUGUUUUAACUUAUGAUUCACUAACUUACUUUUAGCACUUUUAAUCAUAUACUUCCUUUUACUUAAUACCUACUCUUAUCCACAAAAUUUAGUACACACACCUCACCGAACUUCCUUCCUUGUUGCAACCGUCUAUGGAUGGAUUUAGGGUUUGAGGUUGAUUUUUUCACAAAAUCUAGUUAGGAAUCAAGAUGAAACUAGUAGAAACUUUCUCUCUUUUCUUGCUUGAGGGAGUCGAGCAAAGGGAGGAAGAAAGAUGAUGGAUUUUUCUUCAAUUUUUCAAGAUAAGAGCAAGGACAAGUCUUUGGUUAAAGGGGCUCAGUCAAACUUUAAGAGAUGAGUGACAAAUGGCGGCAAAUGGUUCAAAUCUAUCUCUUUGUCUCUCUUGUGUUUCUAAUCUCCAAGGAUCUAUUUGGAUUCAGCAUUUUUUUGAAAAAUAAUUUUUUCACCUACAAUACUACAGUAAUACACAAACAAAAACAACUCCAAAAACAUCAUAUCUAAACAAUAUAUCAAAAACAACUCCAAAUAUACAAAAAAAUUCAAAAUUUUUGAUUUCAAAUUAUGCGAAUUUGGUUCAAAUUCGGCAAUGGAGUUUUUGAAAUCGAAAAUAGAAAUCAGAUUUUUUUAUUUCAAUUUCGUUUUAUAUUAUAUAUAUAUUAAUAUUUAUUUAUUUAUAUAUAUAAUAUUUUUUAUUUCAAUUUUAUUUUAUAAUAUGUAUAUUUCAAUUAUGUAUAUUAUAUUAUAUAUAUAAAUUACAUUAAUAUUAAUAUGUAUAUUUCAAUUAUGUAUAUUAUAUUAUAUAUAAAAAUUAUAUUAAUAUUAAUAUGUAUAUUUCAGUUAUGUAUAUUAAUAUGUAUAUUAUAUAUAUAAUAUCAAUUGAAAUAAAUAUAUAUAUUUAUAUAUAAAUAUAAAUAUUUUGUUUAAAAUAUAAUUAUAUAAAUAUAUUUAUUUCAAUUUUGUUUUAUAAUAUGUAUAUUAAUAUAGAUUAAUAUGUAUAUUUCAAUUAUGUAUAUUAAUAUGUAUAUUAUAUAUAUUAUAUCAAUUGAAAUAAAUAUUAUAUAUUUAUAUAUAAAUAUAAAUAUUUUAUUUAAAAUAUAGUUAUAUAUAUUUAUAUUUAUAUUUAUAUUUAUAUAAAUAUAUUUAUUUCAAUUUUGUUUUAUAAUAUGUAUAUUAAUAUAUAUUAAUAUGUAUAUUAUAUUUCAAUUAUAUAUAUAAAUUAUAUUAAUAUUAAUAGGUAUAUUUCUAUUAUGUAUAUUAUAUCAAUUGAAAUAAAUAUAUAUUUAUAUAUAAAUAUUAAUUUUGUUUUAAAGAUAUGUUUAAAAUAUGCCUUAUACUUUGCAAAAAUCUUAGCAGUCCAAAAUUACCUCAAAGAUCUAGCACUCAACCCAACAGAAGCAUCAAACAGAACCUAAAGAUAUUUUCGAGUUAUCAUAUUAACCCCAGAAAAAGUUGUCCAGAAAUAGCAGAACAUCCCUGUAGACACACUAAAUUAAACACCCAUUGUAUAUACACUCUGGACUACUUCAUUUUUAAAGCCUCUAUUAUUAUGCAUAGAUACAAUAGACCUCCUAGACUUAAUGUCAAUGGACAAAGACUUGUUUUAACCCCACAACUUCUCAUGGAUUAUGGAUUUAUUGAAAAUAUUUAUUUCAUAAGACUAGAUGAUACUUUCAGGAUGGGGACACAUUUGGCAUAUUUUGUAAGAAGAAUGUUAGAUUAUGGUGAUUGGGUAAAAGUCCAGAUCAGAUCAGCACCAUCAGAAUGGAUCGGGCUAUUUGAUUUUGAACCCACAAUACACAGAAUCAAAAUAUUAGUUAGCAAUAUAUGACCAAUUUUUGAAGGAAUAAUCCCUGCAAAUCAAAUUGUAGAAUGUCCAGCAUCUUUAGAAGAACAGCUCAGACAGAAGAAAGCAGUACAAUUGGCGUACAGACAUUUUAAGGCAGACUGGAGAGAUUUGAGACUUGUUUCUGAGAGCAAAUUUCAAAAAAUUUAUACUCCAUACAACUUUAAUUUGGAAAAAGAUUUUACAAUCCAGACUACUUACCCAGAAUUUUUUCAAGAACACUUGGAAGAUUAUAUGGGUGAAGACAGAAGAAAUAUGGAUAUAGAACCAUUAGUCAUAGCACCAGGAGCAGAAGAACAAGAUAUGAAAGACUUUUGGGAUACAACUCAUUAUUACAACAGCAUGACCCCAGAAGAAAUCCAUAACAUCGAAAACAUGAUGGAAGGCUAAAACACUAAGUCUUGUCGGCCAUUCCUCAGUAGAAGACAACCAGCAGGAAAAGAGUACUUUCCGGAUUUAAAAACUUUGAAAUCCGAAAGCUGUACAUAAUAAUGACAGCUGAUUAGAAAGAAAGUUUUUUAGGUCAUUUGUCGGCCACAUUCUUUUAGAAAAAGUCCGGAUUCCAAACUAAUUGAAAUCCGAAGGUCACAUUUUAGAAAAAGUCCGGAUUCCAAACUAGUUGAAAUCCAAACAGUUUUUUCUUUAUAUACCUCAAGAGUGCUCAUUCAUCGAAUAGUAUGAAACCUUGUGAGCAACCUGAGCAUAAGGCAUACUUGUAAAGUAUAACCUCUCUAAUCUCUCUCAAGUACCAAGUACUCAUAACCAUAUGCAUAUUUUAAAAGCUGACAUUUGCUUGUGAAUACAAUACCCUGUAUGAAUUACUAUAAUUUCACUAGUACACCAUAACAAGCAUACGACGUAGCUUUAAGAGAACUUAAAACACCUAAUACUUAUCAUUUUUUCAGUAAUAUAUUAGAAACCUUAGAAACUAUAGAUCAGUGUAAAGCAUAUUUAAUAAUUUUAGAAAAGUUAGUCAUCACCACCCUUCCUCAUUUAUUAGAAAUAUUAGACAAGCUAAAAUAGAUUUAGUAUACAAUAGAAUCCAAAACCUAAACAUAGAAAAAGAAAUCCAAGAAAGUAUAUCUGAACAAGCAAGAUCUUCUAAAACAAAGUGGUUCAUUUAAUUGAUUUCUAAAUUUUUGGAUUAAAACAAAGUGGUUCAUUUAAUUGAUUUUUAAAUUUUUGGAUUUUAAAUUUUUGGUUCAUUUAAAAAUUUGGUAGAGGUUAUACCUUCCUUUUAUUGCAUCGUCUUAUUAUCCUUCUGAUGCAAUGAGAGUGGGAAUCCUAUUCUCCUAAGAGAUUUGCCUCGCCCGAUCUUCCUUGUAGCCUUCAACGCCUUCCUGGCAACACGGCUCUAGUGGUACUACACGGUCUUUUGGUCUUUUUAAGGCUCUUAGUCACAGGGUAUCUCUCUCAAAGUUUCCGGUAAGACUGCAAUCUAGGGUUGGCUGCUACUAACCUCUACUCUCUGUUUCCCUUACCUCCUUCUAAGUAAUUGGUUUUGGAUAUGGUUGGUUUUGGAUGAACUGAGAUAUCUAUUGAAUGCAAAAAUUUACAGGUAGAAUUUACAAGUAUGCCUUAUACUCAGGUUGCUCACAAGGUUUCAUCCUGUUCGAUGAAUGAGCACUCUUGAGGUAUAUAUAGAAAAAACUGUUCGGAUUUCAACUAGUUUGGAAUCCGGACUUUUUCUAAAAUGUGGCCUUCGGA
rnacentral:lncRNA from 1 species